AGGGACUCUGAGGGGGAAAGCAGGAGCCUCGGUCCCUGGUGACAUCUUACAGCUGCCACUCCGACCUUUGCUUCACUCUGAACCUUCCCCAUUAGACAAACAAAGCCCUAAUAAGGGAGCUCCUUUCCAGGCCGCGAGCAAAGCCCCUUUAAGGCCUCAUCACAUUCCGUCUGUUUGUUACAAUCUCUAUCACUCCUAAUUCUGCUUCCACUCAAGUCUGGACCAGUCCUUGUGGUUGGGGUGCUUUCCCUCUGGAAUAGAGCUUGCUGUGGACAGUAACCUCCUAUCCGCAUCUUUCCCAAACAUGCCACUCUGAUUCCUAACAAAGGACACAUCAGCCAGUGAAUGGAUGGUGGAAAUGUGGUCUACAGCCGCCACAGAAUACAGCAGGAUGGAGAUAUAAGUCCUGGCUUCUAUUGCAUAGUGGUGAGUAGGAUGGGUGACAGUGUUCACCAGAACCCAGUGUGCAUAGUCCUGGAACAUCACAUGGCUGGCCCAAAAUAUAAUAAGUCCCUUCAAUUUCAUCAUCUCCGUGAUGUCACUGUUCAUAUCACCCUUUCUCCUUGCUCACUCUUACUCUCUCCCUCACUGUAUGUUGGGGAUCAAACCCAGGGCUUUGAGCAUGGCUGGGCAAGCACUCUACCACUGACCUAAAUCUCCAGCCUGAGUCACAUGUUCUCUCUCAUGCCUAGAAGGUCGUGUUGCAUGUUAAAAACCGCACCUGCUGUGCUCUCCAGUGUUCGAAGACACUGUUAUCUUUAUUUUUGUUUCCCUUUGAAAUAAAACUGAAUCUAUU
rnacentral:lncRNA from 1 species